rnacentral:rRNA from 1 species
CCUACGGGAGGCAGCAGUGGGGGAUCUUGCACAAUGGGGGAAACCCUGAUGCAGCGACACCGCGUGGGUGAAGAAGCGCUUCGGCGUGUAAAGCCCUGUCAGAGGGGAAGAACAAGGACGGUACCCAAAGAAGCAGCACCUGCUAAAUACGUACCAGCAGCCGCGGUAAUACGUAUGGUGCACGCGUUAUCCGGAAGGACUGGGUGUAAAGGGGGCGUGGACGGUUGUACAAGACUGAUGUGAAAGCCCACGGAUCAACGGUGGGAGUGCAUUGGAAACUGUAGAACUAGAGUAUCGGAGAGGCAAGUGGAAUUCCUAGUGUAGCGGGGAAAUGCGUAGAUAGUAGGAGGAACACCAGGGGCGAAGGCGGCUUGCUGGACGAAAACUGACGUUGAGGCUCGAAAGCGUGGGGAGCAAACAGGAUUAGAUACCCUAGUAGUC